rnacentral:lncRNA from 1 species
CGCGAAUCGUUUAUGCAUGCGUUUCUCUCCACAACAUUGCCUUGGACGCGGGCGACUGGACGCUGGACGAGUAUAGUUGGGACGUUCAACCAGCCGGGGAUCCAGAUGAGCCAGAGGAGCCGGGGGAGAGCCAGGUGCUAGAACCGCGCAAUGUGCUGCUCAGAGGAAGGCAGCAGCGCAGUGCCGUCGUGGCCCUUUUCUGAAGGACACAGGAACGGGCCUCUGCCAGGUGCCGGAGCUCCUGCAGGAUACCCUCCUGAGCUGCUGCCGUCCUCUCCGCCGCGAUAGCAAGCCGGGUGGUGGACAGCUCAAUCCUGUGCAGUGUCUGGAAUGAAUAAUCACCGUGGAAAUGUCACCAUGAGUUGCUGAUGAACUCGCAACCAGCCAAUGUCCGGAAGCUGCUGUUGUGAAGAAUUUCAACGUGCACAACAAUUCCCUCUUUGUUGAAGAGCCACUGGCCUGAUGUCAUCAUUUGGUAGUGUCAAGCAUCGUGUACAAGCUAUGCCCUCUUUGUUUGGACAGACUAAGAUCUGCUGGAACUACUCUUCUGUCAUCUACUCAAAUGCAUCUCUUACCACCAAACAGCCCUUUUCAGGGCUAUCCAACCUUUUGCCCGGCUGGUGAUCGCUGCCGAGAUACGUUACCGAGCCCUCAAUGCAUUGCAUAUUUCUUA